UUAUUAACAUUUAGUCAUCUUAAGUGUUAGAAGCGAUAGCCAAUUCCAGUGCAAAUACUGAGAGGCGAGGUUCAGUCACCCCGUUAAAGUCAGCCGAGGCAUACUCACCAGUAACGAAAUGCUCCAUUUGAUUCUAAUAACAGGAGUCAAUAGAAAGAGAAUGGAUCAAUUCAACGACGGGUGAGCCUGGUUUGAAGAGCCAAUUGGAUCCAAUUUGAGAAGACCU
rnacentral:lncRNA from 1 species